CGGGGUGAGUAAUGCUUGGGAAUCUAGCUUAUGGAGGGGGAUAACUACGGGAAACUGUAGCUAAUACCGCGUAGAAUCGAGAGAUGAAAGUGUGGGACCUUCGGGCCACAUGCCAUAGGAUGAGCCCAAGUGGGAUUAGGUAGUUGGUGAGGUAAAGGCUCACCAAGCCGACGAUCUCUAGCUGGUCUGAGAGGGUGACCAGCCACACUGGGACUGAGACACGGCCCAG
rnacentral:rRNA from 1 species